GGAAAGAGGGAGUUACUGCUAACUGGUAUAAAGUGUUAACUGUGUAAAUGAAUGAUUCUGGAGAUACACUGCACAAUGUUGGGCCUACAGCCUUACGUCCUCUGCCCAUGCGCACUGCAGACUGUUGGUAAUGAAGAAAUGAGCACCUCCAGAGUUAUCUCUCAACCAAUGUCUGAUGGAAAUUUCUAUGUACAUACAAUUACUCCCUGAAGACUGUAUUUUGAGGGGAGCUUCCAGAUCCCAGAAUGCGACUCGUGUCUUCUGCUUCUCCUGCAUUGAUAGGUGGAUUUUUUUACCAUUGUGCCAGCUGGGUAAACUAGCCCAAACUAACAGCCAAUGAUUAUUUCAGCCUUUCAGGUUGCCUCUUUCCCCAUCCUUAGCUUUAUAUUCACUACUCCAGCCACUCAAUAUUGUUCAGUUAUUUGAAAGUACAUUUUCUAAAAUGUCUGACUAUAGGCUCAUGUUUUUUGUUUGCCUCAAAUUUAUUAUCCCCUUUUCUCCACUUCAGUUUAAUUUAUACUUAUAUUCCAAAUUUUAAAUUAUACAUAUCAAUUCAUCUGUUCAACAAGCAUUUAAAGGUUAACCU